rnacentral:lncRNA from 1 species
ACGUUGCGCAACACCCCACCGGGGAAGACGGUGAUAGUGCUCCUCCGCAUCUACCGACCAGCCAGAACCAACCUGAUUCCUAGUAUGCAUCCUCCCUCUCUGUGAAUUGUGUGAUUGUUGUAGUGUGUUCUUUGACAGUACAGUUGCUGCUCAGCACAAACAAGACUACCUGCUGGUUUUUAUACGCAAGAGGCGAGAACUGGUGAGAAAAUGCUAAGAGAUUACCUGCAUGUCUGCGAGUCUCAGAAGGUGAAGUUUAAUUGCUUCCAGUGUAUGUAUUCAAUUGUGAGAAAUGUAUCCAGACAAUUUCACAGACAUGUUACAU